GGAUGUCAUCUGUAGUGACAAAACUAUAACCUUGACAUUGAAUAAGCUUAGUGUUGAUAGAAACUUGAUUGAGGUAUUUGCUAAGGGUGUUGAGAAGGAGUAUGUUAUCCUUCUUGCUGCAAGGGCCUCUAGGACCGAAAAUCAGAAUGCUAUAGAUGCUGCAAUUGUUGGGAAGCUUGCUGAUCCAAAGGAGGCUUAAGCCGGAAUCAGGGAGGUCCAUUUUCUUCCAUUCAAUCAUGUAGACAAGAGAACUGCUCUAACUUACAUUGAUUCUGAUGGAAAUUGGCACCGUGUGAGCAAAAGGGCUCCAGAGCAGG